UGCAAAACAGAUCCCACAGUCUCUGCUAGCACCACAUGGGGCUCUGAAGGAGCUCUGCAUUGGGUGGGAAUGGCUAGGACCGUGAUUCCUGAACUGCGCCGCCUGACUCUCCAGGGUGCCAGGGAAAACACUCAGGGGCACUGCAGGGUGUUUUUAAUUUUCCAGGGAAACACGGUAACGUAUGUCAGGCACUGCACAAACUACUACUCUUUACUCGUUUGGACCUAACUAUUUAAAAAAGGGAACUAUAGGCAUUUCUUUUGACUUCUGGGGUGCCAUGAAAAAAUUACUGAGCACUAAGAGUGCCAUGAACUGAGAAAGCUUGAGGAUCUCUGGACUAGGCCUUGUUUCUUGGGACCCUCAAAAAGAAUCUGACCUUGGUUAUCAGAGCCUUGCUCAGUCAUGGGCUGGGGCAGCCUCAGAAGAGUGUGACCUCAGUCUAAAGGCUGGUGGCCCAUGAAGCUAAUAGCUGGAGGCUGUCUCUACUAACUACAGCCAUGCACACUCCUCAAAGGUGGAAAGCAGGUCCUUUCUUGAAGGGGGAUCUGAUUCCAUGGUGGAUCUUGAAGGGGGAUCUGUUACGUGGUGGUCUGACUUCAGGUGUGCUGUAUCUAGGGACUCACUCCUCUUGGUUUCAUUCUCUCUGAGUGCAGGAUGGGCUUUCUGCACCCUUUGAAGAAGAUGAGUUUUGGCAGUCUUUCCCCAACUGAAAGAUAAGGCUCUUCUCUUUAACUUCAAAUUGUGAUUGGCCUGGCUUGGGUGGCAUGCCCAGUUCUGGGCUAAUUGCUGUGUAGGAAACGAUUGUUGGGGCUGGUUGCCGUCACAUGCUCCUUUCCAGGUAUUUCCAUGCCAGGAUUUUUCCCAUCGUUCGGGUCUCUGCUCCACUAUCAGUUCUUCAGUAUCCCACAGGUGGUUUACAGCUGCCAUCUGGAGAGGAGGACGUGCACACUUAUCUCUGGCAAAUUUGGUUUCUAUCCAGUCAACAGUAAAAUUGAGAAAUGAGCUUUUCACUAGCAAAUGGUAAUUACAAUGAAAAACUCCCAACCUUACACAGUACACAGGAGAAAAACA
rnacentral:lncRNA from 1 species